rnacentral:sRNA from 1 species
GUCGUGAGAUGUUGGGUUAAGUCCCGCAACGAGCGCAACCCCCGUCGCAUGUUGCCAGCAUUAAGUUGGGGACUCAUGCGAGACUGCCGGUGACAAACCGGAGGAAGGUGGGGAUGACGUCAAGUCAUCAUGCCCCUUAUGUCCAGGGCUACACACGUGCUACAUUGGCGCAUACAAAGGGUUGCGAUACCGCGAGGUGGAGCGAAUCCCUUAAAGUGCGUCUCGGUUCGGAUUGCAGGCUGAAACUCGCCUGCAUGAAGGCGGAGUUGCUAGUAAUCGUGGAUCAGCACUGCCACGGUGAAUACGUUCCCGGGCCUUGUACACACCGCCCGUCACACCACGGAAGUGGGCAACACCCGAAGCCGGUGGCCUAACCCUCACGGGAGGGAGCCGUCGAAGGUGGGGCCCGUGACUGGGGUGAAGUCGUAACAAGGUAGCCGUACCGGAAGGUGCGGCUGGAUCACCUCCUUUCUAGGGAGCUCCAGGAUUGGAGCGCCCGUUGUGGCUCCGGUGAGCAAUACCGCUCGCCGGCGCUGGCCGCAACGGGUCACUAGAUGUCGACCGGAUCUGGCGCCCCCUACCAGGGGCGCGACGACAUGGCGCCGCACGAGGUUCGAGCGGUGCCUGCAUGCUGUUGAGUUUUGAGAGACCGCGCAGCGGCCGGAACCCCCGGCCGCUGUCUCUGGUUCUCGGCGGACCUUGAAAACUGCACAGCAAAUUCAACGAAAACGGGUGCCGCACCUCUCCUUAACAGGGUGCGGCGCAAUGUCCUGCCGCCUUAUCAGCGGCGGGAAGAUCGAGAAAGAUCACCGUCAAGAUGUCAAGGGCACAUGGUGGAUGCCUUGGCACCAGGAGUCGAUGAAGGGCGUGAACGGCUGCGAUAAGCCACGAUGAGGCGCUGAAUAGCCUGUGAUCCGUGGAUGC